rnacentral:lncRNA from 12 species
GGAUGCUCUAAGCUGGGGACCUGCCGCACAGAGCUGAUUCCUGGGGGGAAUUUAGAGCCCAGCCUACCAAGAUUUGCCAAGGCAGUGAGGGGCCACGCAGGGGCAGGAGGCCACCUGGAGCCUCAUGGCUGGGCUCCCGCUGUGUCACCUGCUCCCUGGGCCUCACCUGCACGAUGCAACGUCUUGGGACAUGGUGUGAGUCACAGCAGCCGCGUGCCACCUCGGGGUGGGGGGGGCAUCCCUUCCACUGCUGUGGAACGUCCGCGACCGUCCUUCCCAGCACGGGCUCCCGGAGAAGUGACCUUUGAGACUGCAUGCUCUGCGUCCCACGGGGAGUCGUGCCCGGGGCACCACUUACCUGACCACGAGCAAGGGGCGCCCCCCUGCUUCCCCCCUCACCCCCCAGGCUCCCCGGCAUCUGUUGGGAAACAGCUUCCUUUGUGCCAGACAAGCGAGUCUUCUCCACAUUUCUCACAAAAGGCAAAGGGUUGCAUGACGGAGGUUAAGAUAACAAUCUUCUCUUAUUACAGUGAUUUAUGUGUGCAUAACUUCGGCGGCGGAAUGUCAUCCGGGGGGUCUUUAAUUGGCAGACGUCGGGGACCGCAGAGGGAGAUGACAGAGAGAGCUCCGGAGACACCAGAGUGUCGGCUGCCAUCCCUGCCUCAUCCCCGCGGAGAGGCCUAAAUAAAUCUCAGGGGGAAGGCAGUCAACUUUUAAACUUUUUAUUAACCUGCUCCCCGCUAAUGAAAUACAAAGAGGAGGAGAUGAUCUUCAACUUGAGAUGAUUUGGGUCUCGUGAUGCAGCAAAUGACUGCCUAGGGUUCUCGAGACCACGGAACAUGAGUCCUCUGGCAAUUUUCGUUCAGAGACAACAAUACUGCAGUUUGCAGUGAUUAUAACUCUAGUGAGUCACUUGGUCUCGUCCUGCCACAGAGGAUAUGAUCAUGUAUUUUUAGGGAUGUCAAAAAACAUAUAUUUUUUAAAGAUUUUAUUUAUUUAUUCAUGAGAGACACAGAGAGAGAGGCAGAGACACAGGCAGAGGGAGAAGCAGGCUCCCUGUAGGGACCCCGAUGUGGGACUCGAUCCCAGGACCCCAGGGUCACUACCUGAGCCAAAGGCAGAUGCUCAACCGCUGAGCCACCCAGGCGUCCCCUGUAUAUUUUUUUUUCCUGAAGAAUAUAUUCUAAACCCUUGGAAAAAAAAGAUGCUGUCUUAAAAUGCAAUAGCUGCUGCCUUCGGCUCCGUGGGGUACUUGGGGGCAGCGGCUUGGCCCCCUUGGGGGUUGCUGACUCACGGGGAAGUGACGAGCCAGUGGCACGGCAGAGGGACUUCGUGGACGGCAUGUUCCUGGGAUCCGUGUCACUUCCAGGAAUGCUGCGGUCUUUGUGAAAUCACAAAGGAAGCUGAUGUGGACUAUGCUAAGGAGUAGGUUUCUGCUCUGAGUAGUCGGGUGGGAACACCGGAAGGGUGUAAAACAAGCCUCAGGGUUUUUCCAACUGCGAGGUGAGAUGGUUGGGGUAUUAGCCCCCUGACUUCUGUGGUAUCAGCAGAGGGCUGUCCUGGGAGCAUUAACUCUCCAGCACCUGCUUGCAGCAAAAAAACCGAACAACAACAACAAAAACCCUUUGGCGUCUGUUCUAGAACCAUGACCACUAAGAAAUAUGGUGGACCAUGGAGAGCUCCAGAGCAUGCUGUAGGUCUAUAGAACUCUAUGCUUAAAAAACCUUUACCCUUCAAAGUGAUAGACUUACACAUCUGGUGGUGGGUUCCACCAUUCAGGAAUGCAGAGAAUACAUUACGGGCUGUAUCUCCACGACAGGAGCUAUUCCCCGUGCCACUUUGCCGUAGCUUAGUUUUGCCUUGCUUUGGCGCGGCGGUCAGUGCGUGUGGGCUGCGGAGUGAGUGGGAUGGAGAGACGGGCGGAACCUGUGGAUGGCUCGUCCACAUGCCUGGCAAGAGUGUGGGUCAGAGAAGAGUUAAACCCAGUGCGGCUUGUAUCUGAAGGUUCCCGGGCUGCGGGUCUUGGAGGAUAGAAGCCUCAGUUGAUGGUGGCACGUGGCGUCUUCUCUGUAGGCAAACUCUGGUUCCCUGUGGGUUUCCAAACGCGGGCAACAAAGCAAACUCCAGUCUCUCAAACUUGCUCUGUUUCUUUCACGUGUUCGUUACUGGCAGAGGCUCUCCAUCCUUCCCUUCUCCAGGCCAGGCCCCUGGGGCCAGCUGUCUUCCCUGCUGCUUUUCUAGCCACGUGGUCAUAGCAUCCCACCGUCUCUUUCUUUGAAGGCUCCCUCCAUCCUCAGAACCUUGACUGUUGUUACUAUGUGAGAGGAGGACACGCUUGCUAGGCCACGUUUUACAUUUAAAAGACAUUCCUGUUAUACCAUAUGUUGGCAAAUCGAACUCCAGUAAAAAAUAUACAUAUUAAAAAUAAUAAUAAUAAAAAAAUAAAGGAAAACA